GACGAACGCUGGCGGCGUGCCUAAUACAUGCAAGUAGAACGCUGAAGGAGGAGCUUGCUUCUCCGGAUGAGUUGCGAACGGGUGAGUAACGCGUAGGUAACCUGCCUGGUAGCGGGGGAUAACUAUUGGAAACGAUAGCUAAUACCGCAUAAGAGUAGAUGUCGCAUGACAUUUGCUUAAAAGGUGCAACUGCACCACUACCAGAUGGACCUGCGUUGUAUUAGCUAGUUGGUGAGGUAACGGCUCACCGAGGCAACGAUACAUAGCCGACCUGAGAGGGUGAUCGGCCACACUGGGACUGAGACACGGCCCAGACUCCUACGGGAGGCAGCAGUAGGGAAUCUUCGGCAAUGGACGGAAGUCUGACCGAGCAACGCCGCGUGAGUGAAGAAGGUUUUCGGAUCGUAAAGCUCUGUUGUAAGAGAAGAACGAGUGUGAGAGUGGAAAGUUCACACUGUGACGGUAUCUUACCAGAAAGGGACGGCUAACUACGUG
rnacentral:rRNA from 1 species